UUAAAGAGAAAGUACCAAGACAAGGCUCCCUUUUUUUUAGAAGAAAGAAAGAAAACAAAAAACAGCAAGCAAACCCUUCAACAUUUUCACAUUUUCACUUUUCAAAGACUCAAGCUUGAAAUCUUUAUAAAAAAAAAUAAAUACAAAACAACAAUGGAAUAAUCCAUCAAGAAUCCACAAAAUGAGUAUGGCAUCAAAGCCAUUUUGCAUAUUCUCUCUUUUCUUAGUUAUAUUUACCAUUUUUAAGCUAACCCCACAAGCUAAAUCUGAUUCUGAUUAUACUAAGUUGAUUUACAAGGGUUGUGCAAAGCAAGAUUUAUCAGAUCCAUCUGGGGUUUACUCACAAGCUCUGUCUUCCCUUUUUGGCACUCUUGUUUCACAGUCCUCAAAGUCUAAGUUCUAUAAGACUAGUACUGGUAGUGGGCAAUCUACAAUUUCUGGUCUUUUUCAGUGUAGAGGUGACCUUUCUAAUGUUGAUUGUUAUAAAUGUGUUAGUGGUUUGCCAAUACUCAUAGAUAAGUUAUGUGGAAGUAAGCCUGUUGCUGCAAGAAUCCAGCUUUAUGGCUGUUACAUGCUAUAUGAGGUUGCUGGUUUCCCUCAAAUCUCUGGAAUGGAGAUGCUGUUCAAGACUUGUAGUGGGAAAAAUGCUCCAGGUAGUGGGUUUGAGGAAAGAAGGGAUACUGCUUUUUCCACAUUGGAAAAUGGCAUGGCUAGUAGCAAUGGCUUCUACACAACAAGCUAUCAGUCUGUUUAUACCAUGGGGCAAUGUGAAGGGGAUGUUGGCUCCGCUGAUUGUGCUGAUUGUGUGAAAAAUGCUGUCCAAAAAGCUCAGGUGGAAUGUGGAAGCUCCGUCUCUGGCCAAAUCUUCCUGCACAAAUGUUUUAUUGGUUAUAGUAAUUCUCCAAAUGGGGUCCCUAGAACAUCACCGUCGUCUUCAGAUUGGUCCCCUUCUUCAUCUUCAGGGUCAGGGCAAAAUGUGGGGAAGACAGUGGCUAUAAUACUAGGAGGGGUAGCUGGAGUGGGGUUUAUACUCAUAUGCGUGCUGUUUGCAAGGAAUCUAAUGAAGAAACAUGACGAUUAUUGAAGGGGUCAGACUUGUUUGCUAUGACCGGCAACGCUUUCCUGAGUGCAUUGCAUAUGUUUUAUCCCCUCAACUCGGAAAAGGUGAAAAAGAACUGAGGACACGACGAUGGCAAGGAAGUCUUCGAUGGUUCAUUUUGUGAUAAAGAAGGGAGAAGAGAGUCUUGUAUGCCUAAGAUUGUCGGAGUUGGCCUCACUUUCGUGAUGCAGGAUCUAAUCGUUGGUUAUUAAGACUUACUUCCGUUCUUUGUUUUCUACGUUGAGUGCUGCUGUUGAAGCACAACGCCUAGUUUGAUACAUGAUCUCCAUGAAGCUCCUCUGACUUCUCAUCAGGUAAGAACAGUAGAAAUUACCAAUGAUUCUUGUGGCACACGUCGAGUUUCUUGCCUGUGUCAAAGUGCCUUGUAGAACAUGUAGUUAGCUGGUCUCUCAGUGCAGACUACAAACCAUAUUGAACUCAUUUCCAAUAUUUGAGAAGUCAUGAAGUGCUGACCUACAAAAGGAUCAAUGAUUGGUAUUCAGUACUCGUAUUGGAAUCUGACUAAUUCAAUUUUGCGUAAUAAAUUUAACUAGACUGUCAUUGCAACAAAAGAAUUUGUAGUAAUAAGUUUUUAUUUAAGUGACUAUUUAUUAAUUUAUGGCAAAACAUUUAUUGCAUCUAAAUAUCAUUUCAUCUUAAGUGGCUAAA